rnacentral:snRNA from 1 species
GUGAACAUGAUGCUUGCAAGAUC